rnacentral:tRNA from 1 species
CGGGGACUGGCUCAAUGGUAGAGUGCGCGUUUCGGGUACGCGAGAUUCCGGGUUCGACUCCCGGGUCCCCGA